rnacentral:rRNA from 1 species
UACAGAGGUCUCAAGCGUUGUUCGGAUUCAUUGGGCGUAAAGGGUGCGUAGGCGGCGCGGUAAGUCGGGUGUGAAAUUUCGGAGCUUAACUCCGAAACUGCAUUCGAUACUGCGGUGCUUGAGGACUGGAGAGGAGACUGGAAUUUACGGUGUAGCAGUGAAAUGCGUAGAGAUCGUAAGGAAGACCAGUGGCGAAGGCGGGUCUCUGGACAGAAACGAUGACGCUGAGGCGACGAAAGCUAGGGGAGCAAACAGG